CAGUCGCCACGGGAAUACGGAGGGGGCUAGCGUUGUUCGGAAUUACUGGGCGUAAAGCGCACGUAGGCGGCUUUGUAAGUUAGAGGUGUAAGCCCGGAGCUCAACUCCAGAAUUGCCUUUAAGACUGCCGAGCUAGCAGGUGAGAGAGGUAAGUGGAAUUCCGAGUGUAGAGGUGAAAUUCGUAGAUAUUCGGAAGAACACCAGUGGCGAAGACGGCUUACUGGCUCAUACUGGACGCUGAGGUGCGAAAGCGUGGGGAGCAAACAGGAUUAGAUACCCCAGUAGUCCCUGUCUCUUAUAC
rnacentral:rRNA from 1 species